GGCCACUGCUAUUGGGAUUCGGCUAAGCCAUGCAAGCGGAGGGCGCGGUCGAAAGAUCGUGGCCCCGCACACUGCUCAGUAACACGUAGUCAACCUACCCUUGGGACAGGGACAACCUCGGGAAACUGAGGCUAAUCCCCGAUAGGUGAGGGACGCUGGAAUGCCUCCUCGCCCAAAGCUCCGGCGCCCAAGGAUGGGACUGCGGUCUAUCAGGCUGUUGGUGGUGUAACGGACCACCAAACCUACGACGGGUACGGGCGAUGGGAGUCGGAGCCCGGAGAUGGGGACUGAGACAAGGCCCCAGGCCCUACGGGGCGCAGCAGGCGCGAAAACUCCGCAAUGCGCGCAAGCGUGACGGGGGAAUCCCAAGUGCCGUUGGUCUUAUGAUCGACGGUUUUUAGGAAGUCUAAGAAGCUUCCAGAAUAAGGGCUGGGCAAGACUGGUGCCAGCCGCCGCGGUAACACCAGCAGCCCAAGUGGUGACCACGAUUAUUGGGCCUAAAGCGCUCGUAGCCGGAUCAGCAAGUCCCUUGUGAAAUCGGGCCGCCCAACGGUUCGGCGUGCAAGGGAUACUGUUGGUCUUGAGGCCGGGAGAGGUCGGAGGUACUCCUGGGGUAGCGGUGAAAUGCUCUAAUCCUAGGGGGACCACCAGUGGCGAAGGCGUCCGACCAGAACGGACCUGACGGUGAGGGGCGAAGGCUAAGGGAGCGAACGGGAUUAGAUACCCCGGUAGUCCUAGCUGUAAAGCAUGCGGGCCAGGUGUCUAGCGCUCCUUGAGGGCGCUAGGUGCCGGAGGGAAGCCGUUAAGCCCGCCGCCUGGGAAGUACGGCCGCAAGGCUGAAACUUAAAGAAAUUGGCGGGGGAGCACCACAAGAGGUGGGACCUGCGGUUC
rnacentral:rRNA from 1 species